rnacentral:rRNA from 1 species
GAUGAACGCUGGCGGCGUGCCUAAUACAUGCAAGUCGAGCGAACGGACGAGAAGCUUGCUUCUCUGAUGUUAGCGGCGGACGGGUGAGUAACACGUGGAUAACCUACCUAUAAGACUGGGAUAACUUCGGGAAACCGGAGCUAAUACCGGAUAAUAUUUUGAACCGCAUGGUUCAAAAGUGAAAGACGGUCUUGCUGUCACUUAUAGAUGGAUCCGCGCUGCAUUAGCUAGUUGGUAAGGUAACGGCUUACCAAGGCAACGAUGCAUAGCCGACCUGAGAGGGUGAUCGGCCACACUGGAACUGAGACACGGUCCAGACUCCUACGGGAGGCAGCAGUAGGGAAUCUUCCGCAAUGGGCGAAAGCCUGACGGAGCAACGCCGCGUGAGUGAUGAAGGUCUUCGGAUCGUAAAACUCUGUUAUUAGGGAAGAACAUAUGUGUAAGUAACUGUGCACAUCUUGACGGUACCUAAUCAGAAAGCCACGGCUAACUACGUGCCAGCAGCCGCGGUAAUACGUAGGUGGCAAGCGUUAUCCGGAAUUAUUGGGCGUAAAGCGCGCGUAGGCGGUUUUUUAAGUCUGAUGUGAAAGCCCACGGCUCAACCGUGGAGGGUCAUUGGAAACUGGAAAACUUGAGUGCAGAAGAGGAAAGUGGAAUUCCAUGUGUAGCGGUGAAAUGCGCAGAGAUAUGGAGGAACACCAGUGGCGAAGGCGACUUUCUGGUCUGUAACUGACGCUGAUGUGCGAAAGCGUGGGGAUCAAACAGGAUUAGAUACCCUGGUAGUCCACGCCGUAAACGAUGAGUGCUAAGUGUUAGGGGGUUUCCGCCCCUUAGUGCUGCAGCUAACGCAUUAAGCACUCCGCCUGGGGAGUACGACCGCAAGGUUGAAACUCAAAGGAAUUGACGGGGACCCGCACAAGCGGUGGAGCAUGUGGUUUAAUUCGAAGCAACGCGAAGAACCUUACCAAAUCUUGACAUCCUUUGACAACUCUAGAGAUAGAGCYUUCCCCUUCGGGGGACAAAGUGACAGGUGGUGCAUGGUUGUCGUCAGCUCGUGUCGUGAGAUGUUGGGUUAAGUCCCGCAACGAGCGCAACCCUUAAGCUUAGUUGCCAUCAUUAAGUUGGGCACUCUAAGUUGACUGCCGGUGACAAACCGGAGGAAGGUGGGGAUGACGUCAAAUCAUCAUGCCCCUUAUGAUUUGGGCUACACACGUGCUACAAUGGACAAUACAAAGGGCAGCGAAACCGCGAGGUCAAGCAAAUCCCAUAAAGUUGUUCUCAGUUCGGAUUGUAGUCUGCAACUCGACUACAUGAAGCUGGAAUCGCUAGUAAUCGUAGAUCAGCAUGCUACGGUGAAUACGUUCCCGGGUCUUGUACACACCGCCCGUCACACCACGAGAGUUUGUAACACCCGAAGCCGGUGGAGUAACCUUUUAGGAGCUAGCCGUCGAAGGUGGGACAAAUGAUUGGGGUGAAGUCGUAACAAGGUAGCCGUAUCGGAAGGUGCGGCUGGAUCACCUCCUUUCU